GGCCGCCGCCAGCGGAACGCGCCGGCCGUUUGUAACGGCCCGCCGGCGGGGGCGCCCUGAGCAGGAGGGUCACCUCCCCGCCUGCCCCAGCCCGUGCGGCUGGAGCUGGGGGGCGGCCUCUGCAGCCGGGCCCUCAGGGGCUUGCCAGGGUGGGUUGUCCCCUUAGGUGCUGGCUUUUGGUCAAGGGGAAAGUUAAACACAACUGCCCGGGCUUCUCCAGAAGUUCAGGCGGUCAGUGUUCCUCACCCGCUCGAUUGUAAAGUCACCGUGUCAGAGGAUCAUGCCAAACCCAGAUACUGCAAAAGAGGCCAGCUGGAGAGGGUCCACUGGGUCUUGAACUCCUGACUUUUACCCCGCACGCUGAUAACCUGAGCAGUUUACAUCACUAGUGAAAUCUGGGUCAUGAUGCGUCCAGCCUCGUAGCGUUGUUAAAAUAGAUAAGAGUUUGCCCACUGAAUUCUACAGGGCUCUGGAAAUGGUGGGUCUGGUAGAGACGGCAGAAUGUGUGUGCUAUGUAUAUAUUAGACUUUAGCAUCGAAAGUUGUCUAGGUAGUGGGACUCAGCUGUUGGUUUUGUUUUUAAAAUACUGGUUCUCCAGGACCCAUCAGAAACUAGUGUUUUGAUGCAGUAAGAAUAUCUGGAUUUGUUGUUUAUUUAGAUGGCUGGAGCCAGCUUGUUUUUUCUUUUCUUUUUUUUUCCCCCACAGGUGAUACACUCUGUUUAUAGUGUGAAAGAAUGCAAGACCCAAUGGUUUCCCAAGCCAUAACACUGGGGAUUUAAGCAUCUUCACUCACUUGCCUUCCUUGACCAUGAGGGGUAGCAUGAUGAUCCAAGCUGAACUUUGUUGGAUUUCAUUGAUGCAUUAAAUGUAACAAAUGUCAAUAAAACAUAAGGAAAGAGGCAGGUCCGCUGUAUAUGAACAAUUAUAAUGUUGCUCAAGAGGUUGACUGAAGAAUUACCUUAUGGAUAACCACUGCCGGUUUGGUUUUGUCUCAGUGGAAUGGAACACACCAGAAUUCUAGCUCUGUAUCUGGACAAUAAAAUGCGGUUGUGCCAAUUAA